rnacentral:rRNA from 1 species
UACGGGGGAGCAAGCGUUGUUCGGAUUUACUGGGCGUAAAGGGCGCGUAGGCGGUCAGCACAAGUCAGUUGUGAAAUCUCCGGGCUUAACUCGGAAAGGUCAACUGAUACUGUGCGACUAGAGUGCAGAAGGGCAACUGGAAUUCUCGGUGUAGCAGUGAAAUGCGUAGAUAUCGAGAGGAACACCAGUGCGAAGGCGAGUCCCUGGACAACACCUGACACUGAGGCACGAAAGCUAGGGAGCAAACAGG